GAUUCCCCUGGGUGGGCAGGGCUUAUCUCUGGUUGGGCAAUGCCCACCCCAGCCCACCCGUAGACACGCCCCUGCUAGAACGGGAGAACUGAAAGGUCAUCUUACCUAAGUGAGAUGCUGGGGCGAGGAAGUUUCCAGGAUGGUGGGGCGGAUGCCCGAAAGGCCCUGCUGACGGGUGUGUGGGACCUGAGGAGGGAGCGAAAGGUCUGACACACACUCACCUGCAGCGGAGAACAGUGUUGCAGGCCGUGCCAAAUCUGUGGGGUGAUGGAUGGGGCCAAAUAGGCUGGGGCCCGGAGGUCGACUCAGGAACUCAGGCUUGAGGCCGAAGUCUAGCUUGUGAGGGUCGACCUGCGUCUGCUGCUGGAAGAGAGCAGAUGGACAGAGAACACAUGACUGUUACACACUGCAGUUUUUAUAAUGAGUAAAUACUGUAAGUCAGUCAGUGUCUGCGUUGUCCUGGUACACCUUGGUCUCUGUAUGAGUACUAAAUGUGAAGUUGCUGCUUUUGUGCAUGCCGCUGUUAUAAACCAACUGCAUGGCCGCCUUGUUUACACCAGGGACAGCUGAUCACGCUAAGUAGGCCAGUUUUGUGUUCAGAACAACUCCAGCCCCACAGAAAUCUGGAGAAGGACACAGAGGGACUAAACCAAAGAGACCAAGGAGCUGUGGGUCCGGAUUCAUGGAGAAAAGCGCUGUGGAGGACGUGAUGUCUGCAUACAUAUUUAUUUGUUUUAUUUGGCGCAUCUUUCACAAAACUACAUUUUCUCCUGGGAUUAGUAAAGUAGUUUGAUUCUGACUCCUGAUUUCAGUAUGAUGUAAAUGUGCUCUAUUCUCCCACAAUGCACUGCAAGUACAUUUGAUAGAUUUAUAGAAUUGAUGUAAAUCUACUUAAGUUAGGGUGAGAACAUUGUAACAGUCUUUACUGGUGCUGGAUAUAAUUAAACUAACAACGUGUUGUUAUUAAGUGUUAUGAUAAUAAGAAUAUUCACAGAACUUUUCAAAUAAAGUAUAAAUGGUGACCAGAGAUGGAUUGUGGAGAAGGCUUCAGAUACACCUCAGUAAUCAAACAACUAUUGACCAAAAGCUGUCUCUUUGUUAAGUCUAGGUGCAUUUGAAUCCUUUGCACCCAUGUGGAUAUAUUGCAUGCAUUAAACAGUGUGCUAUAAAGAAUAGCAUGGAAUUGGGAAACAGUAAACUGUGCUGUCAGAUGAGUCCUCACCUUUAAUUUCUGUUGGUGGUGGUAUAUCUGCCAGGCGAUGUGGACGUGCAUGGCGCACCAUUUCCCUGGUUUCUAUGGGAACAACACAAAAGCAUGCCGCCACAACAUUACUCUUACACAUCAGCACAUUGAUGCCAUUCCUGAUAGUAAUGAACAUAUUAAACAGUGGAGAACGCUGUGUUCAUGAAACUAUAGGAAACUAUAGGAAGCACUGGCAUUUCCACAUGGGCUCUCAAUGAGUGAGCGCCAUAAAAGGCAGAUAGACGUCCUACUAGAUCUUAUUUAUGAUGUUUUUGAUAUACUAUGCUAUGAUGUUUCCUGAUAAAUACGAUAUACUUAACUUUGAUCUUUUUCUACUAUAGUGUUUGUUUUCUCUGAUAUUUUCGACAUACUUUAAUAUGUUAUUUUUUCGGACAUUUUCAACAUACUAAGAAGUUGUGUCAGAUUUUUUAAACAUACUACAUUAUGUAUUUUUUUGACAUAGGACGUUUUUUGUAAAUAUUUUUGACAUACUAAACUAUGUCGUUUUUCAGACACUGUCAAAUUCAGAUACUCUAUAAAUUGUUCAGAUUUUUUCGACAUACUAUAAUAUGCUGUUUCUUCUGAUAUUUGUGUACAUAGUAUUCCAUUACUUUAUUUGACAUACUAUCAUGCUGUUUUUUUUGUGAUAUUUCCGACGCCAUUUCCUCAUAUUUUUGACAUACUACAUUAUGACUUUUUUUUCUGAUAUUUUCGACAUAAUGUUCUCAUUUUACUGUUUAUUUUCGACAAACUAUACUAUGCCCUUUUCUCUGAAGGUUUUCGUCAUACUACACUAAGAAGUCGUGUCAGACCUUUUAAAAUGACUACUUAAUGUAUUUUUUCGACAUACUAAACCCUGUGGGGUUUUUUGUGAUAUUUUUGCCAUACUAU